UACGGAGGGGGCUAGCGUUGUUCGGAAUUACUGGGCGUAAAGCGCACGUAGGCGGCUUUGUAAGUCGGAUGUGAAAUCCCUCGGCUUAACCAAGGAAGUGCAUCCGAAACUACAGAGCUUGAGUACUUAAGAGGAUCGCGGAAUUCCCGGUGUAGAGGUGAAAUGCGUAGAUAUCGGAAGGAACACCAGUGGCGAAAGCGGCUUCCUGGUCCAGCACCGACGUUCAGGCACGGAAAGCGUGGGGAGCAAACAGGG
rnacentral:rRNA from 1 species